AAACAAGAACUAUAGAUAAAUUGUAACAUACGUGUUAGUUGAUAUUAAGUUAACACUGUCUGUGUUUUUACCUCAGGUAAACUCUGCAAGCUUUCUAAGUUACUUCAGAUGCUGGCGAUAAGUCUUGAGGUCUGAACAAUUUUACAGGUAAAACUGAGUUACAUUUUAAAAUAUGCUUUAACUUUUAGUGAAUUACAAGACUGCCAUGGUAAUGUUUAUUUUGACCCUCAAAUUCAUAGGACACCACCAUGGCUGAAAGCAAAGCGGCUCAAUUCUUUAAUGGAGGACAGCAGAGAUGUUGCACAGUAAGGGCAAGAACGCAGUACAAAGACACAAGAAAGACAAUGAGACAAACAGACCCAGUUCCUGCUGCUGUGAAGGUCAUCACACCACUGAUCUACUGACCGUCCUUCUACGAGAUGCCCAGCCGA